rnacentral:rRNA from 1 species
AUGGCAAGGCAAGUUUAUAGGCAAGGGGAGGAAGAUGGAAGCAAGUUAACUAAUUAUGCUCUCCUCUGUAUCUGUCUCUGUCUCUGUCUGUCUCUUUCAGAGGAGAUGAGGAAGAUGAAAGGCAAGAGAGGAAGGAGAGGAAGCAAAGGAAAGAAGAAGGAUGGGCGACACUUUAAGCAAGGCAUUUUAUUCCCCUCGUUAAUCAAUUCGUUUACAUGUUAUAAUUAUGCCAUGCAAGAUUCGAUUAAUCCUUGGCACAAAAACAUUCAAUUUAAUUCAUGUCCUCUUGUUAAUGCAGAACCAAAUUGCAUGUCGGUUAAAUCUUAUCUGGGUGUAAAAUUAGGAAGAACGAUUUGUUGGCUCUGA